GGGCCUGUAGCUCAGUUGGUUAGAGCAGAGGACUCAUAAUCCUUUGGUCGUCGGUUCAAGUCCGACCGGGCCCA
rnacentral:tRNA from 2 species